rnacentral:rRNA from 1 species
AACGAACGCUGGCGGCAGGCCUAACACAUGCAAGUCGAGGGGGAAGCCAUUUUCGGGAUGGUGGAGACCGGCGCACGGGUGAGUAACGCGUGGGCACCUGCCCUGGGGUGGGGGAUAACCGCUGGAAACGGCGGCUAAUACCGCAUACGCCUUAAGAGGGAAAGAUUUAUCGCCCUGGGAGGGGCCCGCGUUGGAUUAGCUUGUUGGUGGGGUAACGGCCCACCAAGGCGACGAUCCAUAGCUGGUCUGAGAGGAUGAUCAGCCACACUGGGACUGAGACACGGCCCAGACUCCUACGGGAGGCAGCAGUGGGGAAUAUUGGACAAUGGGGGCAACCCUGAUCCAGCCAUGCCGCGUGCGUGAAGAAGGCCUUAGGGUUGUAAAGCGCUUUCACCGGUGACGAUGAUGACGGUAGCCGGAGAAGAAGCCCCGGCUAACUCCGUG